UUAUAAGCAAUGAACCAAGAGGAGUAUUCAGGCAAGUUUUUUCAAGAGACAUAAUCCUUGGCUGGAAGAUUAUGAAAACGGAUGGAUACGGGUAGCUUGGGAGCUGUUGGCUUGAAAAUUGAGUAGGGCCAACCGGAUUUACAUUCGUUAACAGUAAACAAGCGGGGCAUGAAAGCCCAAUUUAGGUGGUACCACGGCACUGUCGUCCUAUGU
rnacentral:ncRNA from 1 species